CGCUUGUUCAGUAAAUAACUUGAAGAAGAGAGAGAGAAGUGCCAUAGAGAUGGAGACAGCAGUGCUCACUAAGGAGCUCUUCAGCGCCACCCACAGCAGAAAGCAAGAGAGGGAAAGGGAAGAGCAUCCUUGUGAGCUAAAGGAGAAUGCACAACAUGAAGGCGCCGCCGCCAUUACAGAAAGGACAGAUGCAAGCAAAGCAGUGCUUAUGGACUACGCUGCCGUCCUUCGACCGUUGAUCCGCUCAAAGACGACCUCUAAAGAUGGCGCGCUGUGCCCUGGUCCUUGACAUUGUUGAUCUUGAGGAACAAAACCAGUGUGUCUGCCUCAAGGUAUGAGCGCGCCUGCAGGAAGGAGGGUCACAGGAGUCAACCUGUGAGGAGGUGGUUGGACUGGGGUAC
ensembl:lncRNA